CCUACGGGAGGCAGCAGUGAGGAAUAUUGGUCAAUGGACGUAAGUCUGAACCAGCCAUGCCGCGUGCAGGAAGACGGCUCUAUGAGUUGUAAACUGCUUUUGUACGAGAGUAAAGGUAUCCACGCGUGUAUGUUUGAAUGUACCCUAUGAAUAAGCAUCGGCUAACUCCGUGCCAGCAGCCGCGGUAAUACGGAGGAUUCGAGCGUUAUCCGGAUUUAUUGGGUUUAAAGGGUGCGUAGGUUGUUUUGUAAGUCAGCGGUGAAAGUUUGUGGCUCAACGAUAAAAUUGCCGUUGAUACUGGAAGAAGUGAUGGUGUUGGAGGUAGGCGGAAUGGGUGGUG
rnacentral:rRNA from 1 species